UGGGGAAUAUUGGACAAUGGGCGCAAGCCUGAUCCAGCAAUGCCGCGUGUGUGAAGAAGGCCUUCGGGUUGUAAAGCACUUUUAUCAGGAGCGAAAUACCACGGGUUAAUACCCUAUGGGGCUGACGGUACCUGAGGAAUAAGCACCGGCUAACUUCGUGCCAGCAGCCGCGGUAAUACGAAGGGUGCAAGAGUUAAUCGGAAUUACUGGGCGUAAAGGGCACGCAGGCGGUGCGGCGCGUUUCGCGUGACAGCGGAGGGCUUACCUCUCCGAGGAUGCGAAAGACGGCCGCACUUGAGGGCCAGAGAGGGACACGGAAUUCCGGGUGGAGUGGUGAAAUGCGUAGAGAUCCGGAGGAACACCGAAGGCGAAGGCAGUGUCCUGGCUGGUGACUGACGCUGAGGUGCGAAAGCUAGGGGAGCGAAC
rnacentral:rRNA from 1 species